CUUGACCGAGCCGAGCCACAACGGCCGUUCCUCGUGGCGUUCCUGACCGUACGUAGCGAGCAGGGCCUGCGCCUC
rnacentral:antisense_RNA from 1 species